GGGGAUUUAGCUCAGUGGUGGUAGAGCGCUUGCCUAGGAAGCACAAGGCCCUGGGUUCGGUCCCCAGCUCCG
rnacentral:tRNA from 1 species